rnacentral:piRNA from 1 species
ACAGGGCUUUGCUGCCACAUUGGAACAG